rnacentral:lncRNA from 1 species
CUAUACUAAAAUUGCUCAAGAAGAUUCCGAGUUCGAAUUUCAUAGACUGACAGUUGUUGGAUUGUAAAAAUUGGAAUAUGGAAAAAAAGUGUUUAUUUUCCAUUGUUCUAUCCAAAAUGAUUAAAAAGAAAUUAUAUGGAAAAAAAUAAAAUCAGUCUAAUGUACUCUUUUGCUAGUAAGGGGAGAUUGGGUCGAUGACUUGCUUGCAAGAACAUGUUUAUACAAGGAUUUGGACUCAGGUUUUGACUCUACUUUUUGCAUGUCAAGCCCAUUUUUUUUGCAUGUCAAGCCCAUGUUUGAUGUGAAGAAAUGUAAGCAAAAGUAGACUAGCCCAAUUUCUUACUUCAUUUUGUAAGCCAUAUUAUCAUCUCAAUAAUAUUACAUGUAUUAGGGAUAAAUCUUAAGCUGUGGAUAGCAACUCAGUGGUAGAUACAGUAUCUUAUUUGUUAAAGAUAAAAAUAAGAUUCACAAUUAAAAAACAAGACUCAACAUUAAUAAUUAAUCAAAAAAGUUUGUAUACAUCUAUUAGUCUGAUCUAUUUCAACGAUCUUUCUAUUUCCUGAUGUUAGAAAUUUCAUAAUUAAAAGAUCACUAGUGGUCGGAGGGAUGCAGUACGCAGUUUUGAGUAUGACAACAGUAUCUUGGUAUUUUUCUUAAGUUGUGUUUUCGUGUAGGAUGUGGGUUAUUCGUAUUAUUUACUCUAUCUUGAUCUUUAUUAAUGUAAAUUCAUCUUGUCGUAAGACAAAGUUGGUGAUACAUGUAAUAUAUAUAUGUUAUUGUCAGUCACAUGUACAAAUCAUUCGUUAUAUGCAAGUUGUUGGGCAAGAAAUUUGAUUAGCACCAAUCAUUUACAUUUGUCUAGUGAUUCUGGAAAUCCAAAGUCGAUGUUUACUGGGGAUUUUAAAACCCUGAAUCCAACACUUCAGUCAACACAAUGACAUAUUACACCUUUAUGAGAUUCGGUAUGAGGUCCUAAUGCAUAGAUUAGUCGUUAAGGAAGCAUAAUCUCCUAGUAAUAUGUUAAUUACUAUUUUGUCAAAUUCACGAUAUGGUAGACUACGAAAUUACGAACUUCUUAUUCCAAGCUCUUGACUAGCGCUAGCUAUAUAAUUAUAAACUAUUCUAAAUUUGGUCAAUCCGUGGAAAUAAAUAAAGUAUAGAGAUCGACUACAAUAAUUCAUUGAUAUUGGACUCUUUUAAAAGUGGGACUCUCUUAAAUGAGACUCUCCAUAGAUUAUCUCAGAAGUGGGACUCUUUAUGGACUAUUCGUCAUCCUUUUAGCACAAAUCUCUUUGCCAACAUUAUAAAACAUUGUGUCACAAACAUGAAAUGACGGAGAGUCUAUAGAGAGUUUCGUUUUGAAAGAGUCUUCUUAGCAUUUCUAGACCUAAUCCUAUAGAACCCUUUAAAGUUUGGCUUAGGUUGUUGCCCUCCACGGAAUUGGAUCUCAUUCGGAUCCACUUAGGAUCCCCACAUCUUAAUCAUUCAUCGUGUAUCGUGCGGUCAUAAAUCAUUGGACCUUUUUUAAUUUAAAAUUAAACACAAAUAUUAUAUGACGAAAACUAACUUCACGAUGUACGAUGAACGGCUAGAAUGUGAGGAUCCUAAAAUGGAUCCGGAGAGGAUCCUCUUCCGUCCUCCACACUAUAUCCUUUGACCUAUUUCGGAACCCUAUGGGAUAACGUACUAUUACAACAUAAUCCACAAUUGGUUUCUUGUCCUUGUCAGGACAAAAGAAUAGUUCCCUAUCUCUAUCUAUUUUCUCCACACUAUAUCCUUUGACCUAUUUCGGAACCCUAUGGGAUAACGUACUAUUACAACAUAAUCCACAAUUGGUUUCUUGUCCUUGUCAGGACAAAAGAAUAGUUCCCUAUCUCUAUCUAUUUUUUCUUGAUAAAAAAAAAAAAUAAAUCAAAGGGUUGGGACUUGGGAGGUUAAUUAGAGGAAACUACAUAUUGGUAAAAAAUAAUUUAACAACCUAUCUUCUUAUUGUUUUCCAUAUAAUUUCUUGCACUUCAUAAAUUUUUUUCCUUUCAAUUUUGUCUUCUAAAUUCUAAUGCGCAAGCUGUGUUUUGUAGGUCUUCCAUGCGUAAAAGUUGCAUUGGAAACCUCUACAUAUUAUGGUAAAAUCAGUGUUUGAAAUAUCCUGGGUAUGCUCGAUAUUUCCAUGAAAAUAUUCAAAAAAUCAGGGGAACGUGGAAAGAGGGGGUGAAGUUUAAAUUUCACCCCAUAUCCACGAUAUUUCUUGAAAUCAAUCAAUUUCCUCAAUAUUUUCGAUAUUUUCAGGAAAUAUCCAGUGUUUGCAGACAAUUUGCAAAAAGUUUGUAGGAAAUAUCCAUGAGCCUAUGCAUUCUUUAUUUUUUAAAUUUCUUUCUUUAUGGUAUUAGUUUACUUUAAUAAAACUUGUGUUGCUUUCAUGACAAAAAUUUCAUUUAAGUUAUGUGUAAUUUAUUCUUUAUUUUAUUACUUGUCAUUAUAAGUAAGUUUUUCUUCUCACAUAUCACAUAUGUAAACCAUAUGAGGUUAUUGAAUGAAAGAAUUAUACAGAAGCAAGAAGGAAGAAAGAGAUAGAGAGAGAAGAAGAAUAUCGAAGGUAUUAGAGAGAGAAAGUUGUUGAGAACUGUUGUUUCUUUUCUUAUUAGUUACAAUGAAUUGUUACAAGCUAUAUAUUCUAACACUUUGUAGCUUACACUCUAAGUAACAAUAUAACCAACUUAACUAUCUUCAUGAUCUUUUGACACUUGUCCAUUUCCUACCCAUUGCUAAUAUACCAGAAACCAAUCACAAUAGCGGAAGCAAUCAAAACCAAGAUCGACAAAUCCGUCAAGCUUUUAUGCUUGUUCUGGUGAUGAUACCAUGUAAACCAUCUGAGGUUAUUGAAUGAAAGAAUUAUACAGAAGCAAGAAGGAAGAAAGAGAUAGAGAGAGAAGAAGAAUAUCGAAGGUAUUAGAGAGAGAAAGUUGUUGAGAACUGUUGUUUCUUUUCUUAUUAGUUACAAUGAAUUGUUACAAGCUAUAUAUUCUAACACUUUGUAGCUUAC